rnacentral:rRNA from 1 species
GGGGCUGGAGCAGGUCCCAAGGGUAUGGCUGUUCGCCAUUUAAAGCGGUACGUGAGUUGGGUUAAUAACGUCGUGAGACAGUUAGGUCCCUAUCUACUGUGGGCGUUGGAUAUUUGAGCAGACUUGACCUUAGUACGAGAGGACCGGGUCGAACGAACCCCUGGUGUUCCAGUUGUCGCGCCCGCGGCAGCGCUGGUUAGCUAUGUUCGGAACAGAUAACCGCUGAAUGCAUCUAAGCGGGAAGCUGGCUGCAAGAUAAGAUAUCCCCAUUAAUCCUGUUGUAGACUACAACGUUGAUAGGUUGCACGUGUAAGCCCUGCGAGGGGUUCAGCGCAGCAAUACUAAUCGGAUGAUUGACUUUUUAUC